rnacentral:lncRNA from 1 species
GGCAGGUCAGGCACACCAGGGCUGUUCUCAGGGUGACCUGUCAGCAGCGGGACCAGGACUGAGGACUUAGAAACCCCUCCUCUCAUUUCAUUCUCAGACAAGGGAAGACUUACCUAGUGCUUCUCAUUCUGAACUCCUUGAACUCUACAAAGAUGGAAAACUCAGUUCUUUGGAAGAAAUCUUCAGCCAGGGAAAAAGUUCUGUCGACAAAUACUAUUGUUCUGCCAAGGGAACAUAGCAAUAAUAUCGAAUCAAAACUCGUAUUGAUAUUCUGUGAUACCCAUAGAUCAGUGUCUUAUUCAACUACUAUCAGAGAACCUUCAACUUACAGAAGAUGAGAACUAAUACAGAGACCUGUAACUGGACAAUGUGCUGAGAAUGAGAGACCUUGGAAUACUCAGUCCUAAACAAAAUGUCUUCAUCAAACCUCUCCUCUCAGGGCUCAUGGAGCUUCAAGGAAGAGGAGGCAGAAAGAUUGUAAGAGGCAGUGUGGGAUGGAAGACACCAAAGAAACAGUGUCUUCUAGACACAACAGGACUGAUGCAUAUAUGAACUCAUAGACUGGGACAGCAUGCACAGGGUCUGCACAGGCCCAAGCCAAACGGAGUUUCCAUGUUGAAAGAGGAAGUGGAUAUGAGCCUCUACCCAGCAGUUAUCUUCAUAUGUCAACCACCCAUAAAGGAAAGAUUAGUUUUCUCUAAUGGAGUCUCACUGAGUAUAUAAACCACACUUAAUGGAUGCCCUAUGCCCAACAGUAGAUGACCAAUGAAAAUAAACUCAAUGGUAUUUUUGGAGAUGUUUUGUCUUACAGUGCUUUGAGUAUUUUUAUUAUCUUACUAUUCUUAUGCAAAUACAUAAAUAUGUACAUACAUACAUACAUAUACACACACAGGCACACAUAUGUUCAACAGAACUUUUAUAUACAAGUUAAACAUCAAUGAACUCAGAAAGGAGUUGCUUUACCUGAUAGUGAUUGACUGACCUGAAAUUCAUGAGAAUUUCUGUGCCAUGGGGCAAGAAAGGUUAUGUUUUGAAUCCAGAAAAUAUGCUGGAGCAUCUCUUGGCCAAUUCAUGACCAGGAGCAAAGAUAAACGACCAAUUCAACUAUGAAAGGCCAAUAAAAACAAGGCAGCCUCAGAGUCAGAUACCUGGAGGAUCAAAGUCAAGAGUCAACUGUGAGGCAAACCAUCAAGGCAACUUGGCUGCGAUGAAAUAAAAGGCAAUCUAGAGAUGACAGUAAAGCCGGAAGAGGGUGAGGAUCAACUGUGGCCUCAGAACUCGUGCCACCUUCAGAAGCUGUGAUCUGUCUUCCUCAUCCUCUCCCCAUGGAACUUUUCUGGGAUUGCUUCAUCUUGUAGUGAGCCCAGAGAGAGCUAAUGCCUCCUCUUUCAAGGAGCAAAAGUCUCUCCUUACAAAACUGGGAACUUCCUGCUGUGGCUGCAGGUGCUGAGUUCAAGGGAAGCAAAGGGCAGAGUGUACAGGGCACUUGCUAGCUUCAGAUCCUUUGUGGCCAUGCUUCCCCACAUCUCCAUAUUUGCUUUGAACAACUUCAUGCCGUAACAGCCAUCUCAAGCUAGUGCCACAUGCCCUUCCUUUCUACCCUGGCUUUCCUGUUAACUCUUAGGCGUAAAGAACCAAGAGACAUUAUCAGGAGCCUCAUGCAAUCACCACCAGGAGACCAACACGUCCCAGAGGGAAAGGGGAGAUAAAUGCACAGACUCCUCUCUGCGUGCCUCCUGUUCUCAGCCCUGAAGACAACCAUCAUGGAUGCCCUUCCCUUGACAGCAAUCCUACAUUGCCCUUGCCGCUCCUCCUCCUGGCUUCAGUGGUUUGUUCCUGUCUGUAGCUUAAACAAUUGUAGUAAUUAGAUGAGAACACAGUGAUGUUUUACAGUUUCCCACAUUCUGUUCCCAUAAGCCCAAGCCCUCCAGGCAAGGUAGGGUGAAGCAAAGAAAAUUCAUUAUAAGAAUCCUGUCCAUUCUCAGAGUCUAAGGAUUCUUUCUCACUAAAGCAACUGACUCUUCUCUGAGUCUCCUUCCCUGUGUCCAGUAGUACAGUGUUCUGUUCUCCCUGCUGGAUCUGCUGGACUCCAUUGCAGACUUUCUCACGGUAUGCUUGGUGCUGAUGGUUACGCCUGGGUUCUCGGUUGUUGCCCAAGGUUCCCUGAAUGGUCUGACAGGUAAAGCCUGUAAUGUGUAGUGUGUUCUUCCCAGCACUGUGGUGCGUGAGCCAAUCCUAUUCAUCAGGCCACACCUGAAGCUUGACACCUCAGGUCCCACUCCUAAGAGGCCACUCCUUGUUUCAUCUGAAACGAGCGACAGACACUUCUGCUCUUUGUAGUUUAUUUCUCAUGGACCACAUGGUCUCAACUGCUACUUGAUCUCCACACUGCUCCUGUGACCAUAGUUUUGUUAUCAUCAUAGUUGUCACUGUCAAUACUGUUUUAUUUCUCUCUUUCUUAACAAAUCACUAAUGGGUUCUGAAGAUUUGGCAAAGGAGGAGGCCCGUUUGCUUUGCAAAGGCUGCUUGGCCGUUGCCUUGGCAUCAUUGGUUUUCAAACAGAUGAGAUUUUCAAAACAGACCAAAGGAUCCGGGGAAAGUCUCAGUCAGUUAAGGUACUGCCACACAGACAUGAGGACCCGGUGUCAGAUUCCAAGCACCUAUGUAAAAUGCUAGGCAUGAUGGCAGCUGUCCAUAAACCUGGCUCUAGGGAAGGCAGACAGGUAGCUCUCUCCCUGUAUCUCACUGGCCAGCCAGUCUAGGCAAAUCAAUGAGCGCCUGGUACAGGGACAAAACCUGUUUCAAAAAAAAAUAAGGUGGAGAGUGAGUGAGUUCAUCACUCUGUGCCACUUGGUCAGCCAGACACAAAGGUGCUCGAUCCUGGUUCUUGAAAUGUUCUUAGAUGUUUUCCAUUGCUCUUUGCUAAACUCUUUAAUCUCAAAAAGAAAUAAUUGUACCCCCUUUUUCUUUCAACUUAAAGCCCACUCUGAUCGAAGCCUGUCACACUCCUUCUUGAGUUUCAGGAUGGAGUCUUAAUGCAUAUCAGGCUGAAAGAAGAAAUAGAAGUGUAGAAAGUGUGUGUGUGUGGUACAUGCAUGUGUAUGUGGGCAUGUGUAAGUGAAUGUAUGUGUGCAUGUGUGUGCUAACAUGAGUGAUUUUGUGUGUGGAGGCCAGAGAUUGGUGUCAGUCAUUAAUUUUUAGACAAAUGUUCUCACUGAAUAGUUCACUCACUCAAAUUAUAUGUCACAUGUCAGAUUCUACAUAUUACUUUUCUUUUAUAUAAAAGUUACGUGUGUGUGUGUGUGUGUGUGUGUGUGUGUGUGUGUGUGUAAGUACAGGUACCUGAAGCUUCAGAUCCCAUGGGAGCUGAAGUUAGGCAGUCAUAAGCUGCCCAGUAUAAGUAUUGGGAGUUGAACUCAGGUCUUCUGUAAGAACAGUGUAUGCUUUUAAUUACUAAGCCAACUCUUCAUUGCCCACAUAUUACCUUUAAAUGAAGGCUCUCUCUGUAGGAAACUAAUUCAGAAAUAAAAACACAAGAGAAAAAAAAAAAACAGUAAAGUGCAAAAUGAGAAGUUUGACUAACAAGGCUCAGGCCAGGUGGGGUAAUUAGGUAAUGAGGCUUGCGGAGGAAAUCUGGGGGGGGGGGGGGG